GAUGAACGCUGGCGGCGUGCCUAAUACAUGCAAGUCGAGCGAAUGGAUUAAGAGCUUGCUCUUAUGAAGUUAGCGGCGGACGGGUGAGUAACACGUGGGUAACCUGCCCAUAAGACUGGGAUAACUCCGGGAAACCGGGCUAAUACCGGAUAACAUUUUGAACCGCAUGGCUCGAAAUUUAAAGGCGGCGUCGGCUGUCACUUAGGGAUGGAACCGCGUAGCAUUAGCUAGUUGGUGAGGUAACGGCUCACCAAGGCAACGAUGCGUAGCCGGCCUGAGAGGGUGAUCGGCCACACUGGGACUGGGACACGGCCCAGACUCCUACGGGAGGCAGCAGUUGGGAAUCUUCCGCAAUGGACGAAAGUCUGACGGAGCAACGCCGCGUGAGUGAUGAAGGCUUUCGGGUCGUAAAACUCUGUUGUUAGGGAAGAACAAGUGCUAGUUGAAUAAGCUGGCACCUUGACGGUACCUAACCAGAAAGCCACGGCUAACUACGUGCCAGCCGCCGCAGUAA
rnacentral:rRNA from 1 species